CUCUCACUGGGCGGUCUGCUCCGAGAAGCUAGCCUUGAAAGGCGCCUACCGCUGGAGGGGGCCGGGCUACUUGGGGAAGUCCCUGGCUGCCCUGUCCUUGUCUCUGAAGCCGCUUGCAGGCUGGAGCUCGCUGCACUCAGCAUAAACCCAUCUCCCCUAAUCUCAGGUGCAGCCUUAUCUAUUUCCAGAACUAUCUUUUCAAACCAUUAACUUUUAAGGAAAGUUGACCACUGCAGAACAGGAAGCUCUGACAUCCCCUUCUCAGCCACACCACCAGAAUGACUGCCAAUGGAAACCCUGCGCCUUCCUGCACUGUUCCUACUCAGCUGUGCAGAAAUCUGCUGCCUGCCACAAUGAAGCCAUUCUUUAAGACCAACUAUAUUCCCACCUGCUCAGCGAAGGCUUUUCUAAUUAUGGCUUCCAGUUAGUUCUCUCUCUUCAGCACACAGUUCAGCAAUUUCUACUUCAUGUAUUCAUCUUGCCUUCUCAGACAGACUUCAAAACAUUGAGGUUUUCAUUUUCAGCAUUUAAAAGGAAGAUCCUAAAUAGCUGGAGGAAUUUUCUUUCCCAGGUGAAGAAGAGACUUGUUAUCAGCAGCAGGAAUGGUGUCUGGGAACUCAUGGUCAUCAAUCAUCUUCAUUUUACUCAGUACCAAGAAUUUUCUGACAUUUGCUGAACUUGGCUUCUUAUUUAAAGUGCAUGAAGUUUAAUCAUUGAAAGCAAUAGCAACACGUAUAUGAGGAAAAAUGUAAGCAGUAAGAAUGAGAAUGGACUCCUAGACGCUGGAGCUGGAAGAACUGCUUUGUCAAAGUGUUCAUAUCUGGGUGAAGAGGGACAUCUGAUGUUAGCCAUGGAAAUACAUUAUGACCAGGUCCACUUUCAUGACUGGGUCUUUAGUCAGCCUAUUGGUUGAUCUUUUAGUAGAUGAGGAAUGAACCUAAUUGUGGAUACUCAGGUGUAGAUAUUUGUCACUGUUGGGAGAUGACAAAGGUGUCAUCUGGGGAGGAUAGUUGGACAUCUGACAAAGCUUGAAAGGUGAUUAGACCAACUUAUUGCUGCUUGUUAAUCAACCUUCAAAUGAGCAGUCCUUUGGGACAAAUAUAAUGGCUGAUGACUCUCCCCAUCUGUAUCAAAUGCUCCAACCCUUCUUCAAUGUGUUGUAUUUCCCUGCUCAACAAUAAAUCAGAUAUGGGUUGAUUCUUAAUGUUUAGCCAAAAGGAAAUGUUUUAAGCAAUUAUCCUCAUGCAGAUUUCCAUUUGCAGAAUUAAUGACAAGAGAAUCUUCUAUUAAUCAUCCACCUUUCAUGAGUGCUCAGUUUGGUAGAUUAAAACAUCAUCCUAACGGGGGCUGUCUAAUCUAUAGGCUUCAUUUUAGGAAUACCAAGCUUA